rnacentral:rRNA from 1 species
AUUGAACGCUGGCGGCAUGCUACACAUGCAAGUCGGACGGCAGCACAGAGAAGCUUGCUUCUUGGGUGGCGAGUGGCGAACGGGUGAGUAAUAUAUCGGAACGUACCGAGCAGUGGGGGAUAACUAAUCGAAAGAUUAGCUAAUACCGCAUAUUUUCUGAGGAAGAAAGCAGGGGACCAUUUGGCCUUGCGCUGUUUGAGCGGCCGAUAUCUGAUUAGCUGGUUGGUGGGGUAAAGGCCUACCAAGGCGACGAUCAGUAGCGGGUCUGAGAGGAUGAUCCGCCACACUGGGACUGAGACACGGCCCAGACUCCUACGGGAGGCAGCAGUGGGGAAUUUUGGACAAUGGGCGCAAGCCUGAUCCAGCCAUGCCGCGUGUCUGAAGAAGGCCUUCGGGUUGUAAAGGACUUUUGUCAGGGAAGAAAAGGGCGGGGUUAAUACCCCUGUCUGAUGACGGUACCUGAAGAAUAAGCACCGGCUAACUACGUGCCAGCAGCCGCGGUAAUACGUAGGGUGCGAGCGUUAAUCGGAAUUACUGGGCGUAAAGCGGGCGCAGACGGUUACUUAAGCAGGAUGUGAAAUCCCCGGGCUCAACCUGGGAACUGCGUUCUGAACUGGGUGACUAGAGUGUGUCAGAGGGAGGUAGAAUUCCACGUGUAGCAGUGAAAUGCGUAGAGAUGUGGAGGAAUACCGAUGGCGAAGGCAGCCUCCUGGGAUAACACUGACGUUCAUGCCCGAAAGCGUGGGUAGCAAACAGGAUUAGAUACCCUGGUAGUCCACGCCCUAAACGAUGUCGAUUAGCUGUUGAGCAGCAUGACUGCUUAGUAGCGAAGCUAACGCGUGAAAUCGACCGCC